AGCCUUCUGGGUCCGAGGCUCCCACCUGAGCUUAGCGCUUGACACCCUUUAAAAAAAUGUAUUUAAAGAGGCUGGUUCCUAUCCAUCUGACUGGAGGCAUCUCAGUGCAAGAGCAAAGCUAAGUCCUGCACAUACACCUCCCCUCCUCCUCCUCCUCCUCCUCCUCCUCCUCCUCCUCCCCCUCCCCCCAGGUUUUCCCGAAUGUAUCUACUCCGGUUACAACUAGACGGGGCCCCUCCCCCACCUGCCUUCCCCCUUCCUCCCCUCGAUCGGGGAGGGAGCGUUCUCUGUGCCUUCCCAGGUCCCCGUGGGGGACCUUCUAUGUUGGAGUGGGGUGGGGGGGAGGGUCAUAUAACGAAGGCCAGAAAGAACAAAUUAGAUAAUCAAAAGAAUUAUAGUAAUUGCUUUCACUUUCCCCAGCCCGCUCAGCGGAUUCCCUCCCCUGCCCUCCCCUGGCUUUUCUGUCUGUCGGGAAUACUCGGUCUUUGCGACCCCCUCCCCUCCCCCAGGUUCCUCCUCUCUUCUCUCCUGGCUCGCGCGUUCCCUCUCUUCCUCCGUUUUCUGGUGUGCUGGAACGUUCAGCGGAAUAUGAUGAAUGAUCACCUGUCACAGCUUGUUUAUUAUAAUGCAGGCAAUCAAUUACACAUCCCCAACGCUGGCCGGCCCGCAGGAAAUUUAUAUGCUCAGCACAAACCAAUGUGAAAAUGGAAUCUCAUUUGCCAAAUGUCUUUCUCCCCGUACAGCACUAUGAUUACAGUCUGUGUUUGUUUCAACUGUCGUGUACAACUGACAGUGCCAUCAUUUACUGCCUGGCUCAGGUCACGUUACUCUAAGGCUUUAUUUAUUGUGUUACGAAGGCCAGCACAGGAAAAGGACAAGGGUGUCUGUCAGGGAUGCCACCGUGUUAAAAAGUGGGUGUGUAAGGGCUGCAUUCCCGGGCAGCCGCUGCAAACUCAGCCCCUGGGCCCUACCUCCGCAGCCUCUCCUAGCAUCCAGCUCCCCAGACUCCAAGGCCCCAGUAGGGAGCCAGCUCUAGGUACCUGGAGCUCCACAGGUCCCGGAAUCAGAGUGCAUCAGAGUUCAAAUGCUGGUUCUGCUACUGUCUAGUUGUAUGCAGCAGGGACUCAAUCUCUUCAUCUGGGAAAUGGGAAUUUUAAUAGCCCUUGGCAGGAAUAUUGGGAUCUCUGGGAUGUCAGAGGUGUUGAUGAAUGUUAGUUCCCUGGACUUCAGAAAUUGGUCCCGUUGGAAGAGAUGUGAAUUGGAAUUCACACCCUAUAUUAAAAUCUCCUCAAAUCUUCACCUCUGGGACAUGGCUGUCUCAAGACUGUUUUUUUUCCCUUCCUGGUGGGAUUUUGCACUUUUAUGUCCCCUGUACCAGCAGGUAAUGUGACUUUGAAAAAAUAAAAUGGCCACCUUGCUCCACUGUUCUUUUUGUG